AUAACCUGUCAGGCUACACUGCAAGUGGACCUACACGGCCGGGUGUUUGUAGACUUCUGGGGCGUCCAGCUUUACUCCACCUCAGAGGGCCACCUCUGUGCAUUUCUUUCUCCUGGAGGGUGGAGGCCACCUCUCCCGCUCUGGGCUCCUCUCCAGGACAGUGAACAUCUGCUGAGCUGAGCUGAAGGCUCAGACUGAGUAUGUGGGAGGGCUGCCGAGAGGAGCCUUCUUCACGUCUCUCUAGCGGCCUUCCCAUAGCACAUGCCUCACAAAGCUGCGACAAAGGAAACCGGGGAGCUGGCCUGAACAACACACUCCCGCAGGGAGACACGGGGCUGGACACAGAAACGCGCACCAAGCCCGUAAAGGUUUAAGGGAGGAGAGCUCUUGCACUCUAGGUCUUUCACCAAGCUGGUGAGUCCUCACCUUCACGGGCAGUCUUCAGCCUCCUCUUCACACUACUGUCACCCCCACCAACCCCUAUUCCUCCUGCUCAGAGAAAAUGCCCAUCUUGUCACUGAUAGAAGAGCCUUCCAGGCAGAAGUCAGUAACUUCCCAAGGUCACACAGCUUCCAGGGGCCAAAAUUAACAUUUAACGUCACAUGUGCCCAUCUUCUGGGUUCUACACCUGCAGCCCCCUGAGGAAUCUGAUAGUCUAAGGACGGCCAAGGGGCUGCAGCGGAAGGUUCCAGACAUCCUCAGUGAGGCCCCACUCCAGGAGGCUGCCAGACUCCGUGACCAUGAGCCGCCUAAUGAAACGACUCAUAUUCAAGAUAAUGUUGGAUUCAGGCACGAAAGAAAGCAGCCUCAUUUUCAAGGCCCAUUUCUCUCAUAAAAUAAAAUUCCAGUUAACGUCAAUUUGUGCUAAUCAGGCCUGAGGGGAAUGCAACUUACAGAUGGGCAGGCAACCAAAAGUCAGCAUAGCCUGCUUUAUAUCUAGCUCUUAUCUUCCUUUGUAUUAAAUUGUUAUCUUCCCCUCUGGACAGAAAAGAAAAAAUAACCCAAAGCACACAAACUCCUGAAGCUGCUUUUUCACAGAAAGCUUGCUUGCUGAAUUUAAAAAAAAAAAAAAAAAAAA